AGAGUUUGAUCAUGGCUCAGAACGAACGCUGGCGGCAUGCCUAACACAUGCAAGUCGAACGAGACCUUCGGGUCUAGUGGCGCACGGGUGCGUAACGCGUGGGAAUCUGCCCUGGGGUGCGGAAUAACUCGGAGAAAUCCGUGCUAAUACCGCAUAAUGUCUUCGGACCAAAGAUUUAUCGCCCUGGGAUGAGCCCGCGUAGGAUUAGCGAGUUGGUGGGGUAAAGGCCUACCAAGGCGACGAUCCUUAGCUGGUCUGAGAGGAUGAUCAGCCACACUGGGACUGAGACACGGCCCAGACUCCUACGGGAGGCAGCAGUGGGAAUAUUGGACAAUGGGCGAAAGCCUGAUCCAGCAAUGCCGCGUGAGUGAUGAAGGCCCUAGGGUUGUAAAGCUCUUUUACCCGGGAUGAUAAUGACAGUACCGGGAGAAUAAGCUCCGGAUAACUCCGUG
rnacentral:rRNA from 1 species